AAAUGUUUUAUCUAGGUUAUGGAGCCAGUUGAUUUACACUGUGAUGCAUAGCACCUCUAUGUUGAUAAGCCAGCUGGUUUAGGGAGUUGUAGAAGGUUACGGAGUUCUUCCACUAGUCCGUCAGCUGCUACAGGUGAUAUGAUAGAUUAUGAUAGCUAGAUUCUGUGAUACAUUAGAUCUGGAUCCAGAAACAAAGUGAUGGUCAUUCUGUGAUGAUGCAGGUACAGCCAAGCCUCACCAGUUCCUUAGAGUCAGGGCCACUGGUUGAUUACUUAUAUUACAAUAUACACAAGAUAUAACACAAGAUAUAAGAUAUCAGGGAUACCGUCAAAAGAGAAUGUCAAUAUUAAUACUAAUGUGACAUCUGAAUAUUACAAUUCGAUAAAAGUGGUAUGUGUGUAGUUUCAUUAUAUGUCCAUGAAUUCUGUAUACAAGUGAAAUAGUCAUUUGUUAGUGGAUUGAUCCAGGUAGAUGGGGUCAGCUGAUUAGCUGUGUGUAGGUAGGAGGGAAUGAGUAUAAGACUAUCGAAUGGAGUGUGAGUUACAUUAAUACACAUGUUAUUACAACAGGUUGUCUGUGUGUAACCAAGUAUGUGGAAAAUUGUGGCAUUUUAUAAAUGGUCAGUCUUUGUUCACAGAGGUUGACCUAAGCAUUUAUUCAAUCCCCACCCCCCUUUUAUAGACACUUGUGAAUGAACAAUUUCUUUUCACUGUUUGAUAAAUUGUACAUGCUGUAUAUCUGUAAUAAAAAGACAUUUGCACAAGGGUGUAUACAGUUACAAAUCGAUAUAAACAUGAUUUCAUUCAAAUAUUUGCACAUAUUGUGUUGAAACAAUUUUGUUGUAGCAUGUGUCAGUGUAAGUACAUGUAUAUGGUAUUUAAACCGUACACUUGUGCCCUUUGCAUACAAGUUUUGAAAUGUUGAUAAACAGAUGUGUGUGUCUCUUUUGUUUAACCAUUUGUAUAAGCAUUGACAUAUUUGUACAGGUAUUAUAGCUGUUGUUAACAGUAUUUUGGAGUGGGGCCUGACUUUUGUAAACAGGCACCUGUCUUUUGCUAGGCGACUGUGUGCUACAUAAGAGUAAUAAUGGAUGUUGUAGAAAGAAAUUAUGUUACUGAUCAGGACUCUUGUUUGAUUCAGACAAUAAAUGGAAUGCUGAUUCAUUUAUUGUUCUACCUCAUUUGAUUAGCUCUUCUGUUUUGUUCUAUUUGUAGCAUAUGAAGAAUUGGUUGUAUUGUUAACUUAUUUUUCUUACGUUUUGAAAACAAUUACAAUUAAUUACCAUUUGGACAAAUAAAUCUCCUGAGCUCUUCAUGGGAGGCACAGAUAUGUUUUUAGAAAUUAUUACUGAUAUAAACUGGUCAUACAUUGUUCUGUAUGUUAAUACCUAUGAAGGUAUAUAUAACACUUUGGAUUGUCUCACUGUUAUUGUUUGAAAAAUAGGACCUUGAAUUUCUUGUUUUUAUAACACUGUUAUUGCAAUAAAGUACUUUAAAGU
rnacentral:misc_RNA from 1 species